rnacentral:rRNA from 1 species
UACGGGGGGAGCAAGCGUUGUUCGGAUUUACUGGGCGUAAAGGGCGCGUAGGCGGUCGUGACAAGUCACUUGUGAAAUCUCCGGGCUUAACUCGGAACGGUCAAGUGAUACUGUCGGACUAGAGUGCAGAAGGGGCAACUGGAAUUCUCGGUGUAGCGGUGAAAUGCGUAGAUAUCGAGAGGAACACCAAUAGCGAAGGCAGCUCGCUGGGACGGUAUUGACGCUAAGGCGCGAAAGCGUGGGGAGCAAACAGG